rnacentral:antisense_RNA from 1 species
CUUGAGCGAGCCCAGCCACAGCGGCCGGUCCCGGUCCUGCCCGUAGGUCGCCAGCAACGCCUGCGCCUC